rnacentral:lncRNA from 1 species
CUUUCUAUAUGCCUGAUGUACCUGGAAUAAGAAAGGGUAGGACUUAGGGCCUCAGCAGGUGCAGAGAAGUUCCUCCUCCACUCCUAUUCAGAGUAUAAGAGAUGAAGAAGAGCUCCUCAUCAUCCAAGGACAAGGAUGUCUUCAUAACAUCUCCAUCUUUAGUUGUACCUGGGGUCACCAUGUUGGAUGACUUCAGUUGAACCACUGACAUUGUGGUCUCUGUGAAUGGUGGCCUUGGAGCUGGGCAGUAUGCAGCCUGCAUUGCCAAAAUUGGUGACCUGGAAGGACUCAAGGGCUAAGACUUAUACCUGUAUUUGAGGACUAAGCCAUUUGACUUUCUGACAGAGAACACCCUCACAUAUUCAAUGUACCAGGGCACAAAUGAAAAAUGUUAUGUAGAUAGGCAAAUAGAAACUACCACAAAGAUACAGCUUCCAGUCACUGUUGGUAGGUUUUCUUGUCCUUUGUCUUGUAU